CAGGAACGAAAGUUUAUAAUAGAUAUAGAAGUGACAGUAAACAAGUUUUUCAAGAUUUACAAUGAACAAUGAUUUGGCUUCUUGCUCUAAAACAGAAACAAUCUGCAACACUAACUUGGUGACAAUCCCACCAAUUCAACGACAAUGGAAAUCUCUACCCUUCACUCCUUUGCGACUUCUAGAAUCAAAGGCAAACUACCAUCAUUGCAGGAAAGGAAAAGAAAAUAACAACAGUUCUUGCGGUUAAAGCAUCUGUCAAGUGAAGGUAUGCCACUUGAAUCCUUUUUCUUUUAAUAACCAUCCGUACACGGCGGCAGUAAUGCCAAGACAAAAAACUUGAUACUCUGUUCAUAGUCAUCUCAUUAUUGAAAAAGUAUAUGUAAAACUGGCCUGCAAGAUAAAAGCAUUUUCGAGUAACUGAAUGUACAGCAUAUGAUCGUUUGUGCUCUUAAUAUUCAAUUAUUGGGAGUACCGCUAGAUGAAAUAUAGUGGAAACUCCAGAUCUUAUAACUUUUAAUACAUUCUCAACUAAGAUUUUAAGACAUGAGAUUAUAUGCCAAUAGUUACAUUUAAGUCAUAAAAGGCAGUAAGAAUAAGUUUCAGGACAUAGUGAGGGCUGAAACUACUUAUUUGAAAACAGUGAAACAACUCACUAAAUUAACUAAUUUUAAGAGAUUAAGUUUUAAGAAUUAAUACUAUACAACUAAGAGCAGGCUACAAAAUAGUGAAUCAAGAAUAUUCAACUGUAUAAAAUAUUUUAACCAACACUUCCACCAACCACCCCGGUGAAGUGAAAUAUAUAAUAUGGUCAAUCAAGCAUAUUAAAAUUAAUAUGUUAAAACUAAUAAAAGUGCACUCGGAAGGCAACCAUAAAGCAAGAACAGUAAUGAUAAAAAGUAACACAUGGCAAGAACAAUGGACUGACCAGACCUUCUAAAAUCCCUGGAACUACAUGAUAUCAGAUCCCUGACAACGCACAUAAUACCUACAAAGUAGCUGAUGCGAAGAUAAGUCCAAUAUAGUUUUUUUUUCUAAACCCAAUACAGUUAGCGAGACCUCGAGACAGAUAAUUUACGGGUCGGUGAAAGAGGCUGGUGACAAAAUUGACAGCACAAUACCUAUAGAUAUGACAAAGACAUGAGAAAUGGUUGACCUGGCAAUGUUGUUCAGUGUUCAAACAAUCCCAAAAAUGAUAUUGAGAAAUCUAUCCUGGCCUAGAGACAGGAGCAUAGACUAACUUUACAGAAUUCUAAUUCAUGCACUAAACUUCUCCAAGAAAUAAUCAUGUAUUGCAAAUUGAGUAAUUAGCGGUGCUGCGUCAAGAACUAUAGAGAGUUCAUGUUUGCAUUAGCACAAAUAAUAAAAUCAAAAGGCAGGCACGACUGUGUUCACAAGAGAGAAAUGCCAACUUGUUCUUAUUCACUAAAUUCUUCUGCUGGAUUAUUCCUCUUCUUUCUCAGAUCUGCACACAUCUGUUCAGAGAAGCCAGAUAUUAGGAAAUCAAAUCAGAGUGACAAAGGAUGGAGCACCUAACAAGGUUUGUGAACUACCUCUUCAUGCCACGCCAUAAGAUGAUUACUUUCAGCCAGAUUGAUCCCCUGUUUCUAUGAAUAAAACAUAUUGCAUGUGACUGGAUCUUAUUGUUAUAGAUUAGCAAGCAUCUUUAGAUUCUAUCAUCAUAUAUAUCUUACUCCUAAAGUUACAGGGUAACCAUAAUCAUCUACUUGCAAUUUCCAAGACAUUCUUUAUAAAUGUUAUACUACAUGGCACAUGUCUAUGUCCAAAAGGGCAAUAAUAUGCAAUUCGACGAUCAUAUUCAUAUGGUACCAUAACUGCAUCCCACAAAAAGAAACCUAUAGGCCUAAGAAACAGAGUAAAUAUCGGUAAUACAUCAUUACCAUGAAAGAAUUUCUCUCCUAGAAAUUCAUAUCAAAGAAAGUGUGCACAGAAGCAACCCAUACAGGUCAACUCAAGAUAUUUAAAUGAACAUAUUCAAAGAUAUUCCACUACCUUAUUUAUGAAAUUUAGACAAUUUUUGCUGCCAAGGUUAGAGCAUUGCCUAGUCUGUUUCUGGCACAAAAACAAUCUUAACCCAGCCUGCAGCUGAAUAAAGUGAAAUAAGAUUUAAGAAUAAGAGCAAUAAUUAGGAUGUGUUGUACAAAGAAAUCUUAGCUACAGAAGGAGUUUUGUGAACACAUUAAGGUAGUUAAAUGAGUGAUAGAACGGUACCAGAUUGGACAUUCAAUCCAUAAAAAUAUAUUCAAUAAACUGGAAGAGAAAUGCAUCAUGUUUUAGGUGUAGCCAAGUACAGUUGCGAACUUGAUAUAGCUUUGUAAAGUUGAAGGUAAACAAUUUCACACAAUGUAAAGCAAGUCAAGUCAGAGGGGAAAGGAGGGCAGCAACAUGCAC
rnacentral:lncRNA from 1 species